CCAGGGCUGCUCUCUCUCUAGAUCUGUUUCUCCUUUAGUCUAGUUUGGCAGUGCUUAGGCGAAGCCCUGCUGGAUUAGUUCACCACCACCACCACACUGCCGUGCUGGAGAACUCAUCUACCUCUCCGUCCCUCUUGCUGGAUCUAGAAGGCGGGGAUCGUCAUCGAGUUGUACGUGUGCUGAACGCGGAGGUGUCAUCCGUUCGGCACUAGAUCGGGAUGGGAUCGCGGGACAGAUCGUGAUGAGAUCGCGGGACGGG
rnacentral:lncRNA from 1 species